rnacentral:rRNA from 1 species
GAAAAGCGGGUUGGGACCUCACCUCGGUGAGGGCUCCAGCUUGUCUGAAUUAUUCACCCAUGUCUUUUGCGCACUUCUUGUUUCCUGGGCGGGUUCGCCCGCCACCAGGACCAAACCAUAAACCUUUUUGUAAUUGCAAUCAGCGUCAGUAAACAAUGUAAUUAUUACAACUUUCAACAACGGAUCUCUUGGUUCUGGCAUCGAUGAAGAACGCAGCGAAAUGCGAUACGUAGUGUGAAUUGCAGAAUUCAGUGAAUCAUCGAAUCUUUGAACGCACAUUGCGCCCUUUGGUAUUCCAAAGGGCAUGCCUGUUCGAGCGUCAUUUGUACCCUCAAGCUUUGCUUGGUGUUGGGCGUCUUUGUCUCUCACGAGACUCGCCUUAAAAUGAUUGGCAGCCGACCUACUGGUUUCGGAGCGCAGCACAAUUCUUGCACUUUGAAUCAGCCUUGGUUGAGCAUCCAUCAAGACCACAUUUUCUUAACUUUUGACCUCGGAUCAGGUAGGGAUACCCGCUGAACUUAAGCAUAUCAAUAAGCGGGAGGAA